rnacentral:rRNA from 1 species
UACGUAGGCAGCGAGCGUUGUUCGGAGUUACUGGGCGUAAAGAGUGCGUAGGCGGUUUUCUAAGUUUGGUGUGAAAUCUCCCGGCUUAACUGGGAGGGUGCGCCGAAGACUGGAAGGCUUGAGUAUGGGAGAGGUAAGCGGAAUUCCAGGUGUAGCGGUGAAAUGCGUAGAUAUCUGGAGGAACACCGGUGGCGAAGGCGGCAUCCUGGACCAACACUGACGCUGAGGAGCGAAAGCGUGGGGAGCGAACAGG